GGAUGAACGCUGGCGGCGUGCCUAAUACAUGCAAGUCGAGCGAACAGACGAGGCGCUUGCUCCUUUGACGUUAGCGGCGGACGGGUGAGUAACACGUGGGUAACCUACCUAUAAGACUGGGAUAACUUCGGGAAACCGGAGCUAAUACCGGAUAAUAUUUCGAACCGCAUGGUUCGAUAGUGAAAGAUGGCUCUGCUAUCACUUAUAGAUGGACCUGCGCCGUAUUAGCUAGUUGGUAAGGUAACGGCUUACCAAGGCAACGAUACGUAGCCGACCUGAGAGGGUGAUCGGCCACACUGGAACUGAGACACGGUCCAGACUCCUACGGGAGGCAGCAGUAGGGAAUCUUCCGCAAUGGGCGAAAGCCUGACGGAGCAACGCCGCGUGAGUGAUGAAGGUCUUCGGAUCGUAAAACUCUGUUAUUAGGGAAGAACAAACGUGUAAGUAACUGUGCACGUCUUGACGGUACCUAAUCAGAAAGCCACGGCUAACUACGUG
rnacentral:rRNA from 1 species